AACGAACGCUGGCGGCAUGCCUAACACAUGCAAGUCGAACGAAGCCUUCGGGCUUAGUGGCGCACGGGUGCGUAACGCGUGGGAAUCUGCCCCUUUCUUCGGAAUAACAGUUAGAAAUGACUGCUAAUACCGGAUGAAGUCUUCGGACCAAAGAUUUAUCGGCAAGGGAUGAGCCCGCGUAGGAUUAGGUAGUUGGUGGGGUAAAGGCCUACCAAGCCGACGAUCCUUAGCUGGUCUGAGAGGAUGAUCAGCCACACUGGGACUGAGACACGGCCCAGACUCCUACGGGAGGCAGCAGUGGGGAAUAUUGGACAAUGGACGCAAGUCUGAUCCAGCAAUGCCGCGUGAGUGAUGAAGGCAUUAGGGUUGUAAAGCUCUUUUACCAGGGAUGAUAAUGACAGUACCUGGAGAAUAAGCUCCGGCUAACUCCGUG
rnacentral:rRNA from 1 species